CCAAAAUUUUGAACUAAAUAGUCGAUACCCUAACAACACACUUCUCGAUUAAUUAAAAUUAGGGUCCACAAUCUAAUUGGUCCAAAACACCCUAAUUCAAGUUGAUAUGAAAUUUGAUGGGUUCUAGAGCUCCCUGAGAGAAGCGAAGAACGAAAAAUGGGUUCCGUUGCAAAGGUACUCGAUUCAAAUUCUAGUUACAAAUUCAAAUUUUACAGAUUGUGAAAUUCAAACUCUUUGACAUGCAAGUUUCAGAAAAGAAGAAUUGUAAUCUGCAAAUAUACAUGUUCAGGAGAUAGAUAAACUAUAGCAAAUAAAAGAGAGAAAAUGAACCCAUGUCUAGUUUAUUAUACUAAGAUAAAGUCAUUAAGGAUCAACAAUUAAAAAAUACUGGGCAGAAAGCUGGCUAUUAGAUGAAGAACUAAUACUUUAAAUAGAAACAGAUCAACUAAUCGAUAAGCUAAGAUCAAUUAAAAAAUUUCAACAUUGAAUUUUUCUCAAACUUUUGCUUUCCUUUGUGAUGCCCACAAAUAUAAAAACCAGUGCCUCAGUGGAAGUUAGCAGUGGAAUAUGUAUAAUUUUGAGAUUUACUUGCAUUGAAUUAGUCUUAACACCUUUACAAACAUAAAGGUACGUAAUUUCUAAAAUGUAGAUUAAUUAAUUAAUAGUGUGUGGAAUCAUGUGAUCCACUGAAAGAUAUCAUUAGCAAAUGAAGCUUUUUUCAGGGUGAAAGGGCAAACACAAUGACCAAUAGUUUGGGUUGUUGACUUCUUGUGCGCCCACAAAAAUUAGGGUGCUUUCUACUGUGAGAACCUUCUAUUUUUCCAUUAUUGGUUGAUCAUUUGGUCCUUGCACUUGGGUUUCUUCACUUUGAUGCUGGCUGGGUACAUAGAUUCACUGAAAGAAUGUAGACCAGGAAAACAACUCUGAGUAGUCUUAGGAUAGCUGCUUUCAGGGUGUCAUUUGGUAUAUAUUCUUACUCUAUGUGCUACAUUCCAGCUUUUAUUGCGUUAACUUUUAUAAAGGACAUGAUAAUCCCCUACAUUUUUCAGGGCCAUUUCAUGUUUUCCUUAAAAAAUUAUGCCAGUUGUCAGUUAAUUCCUUUUAAUGUGAGCAUCUGCCUAAGAUGAAGACUUAUAUGAGUACUCUCCUGUAGUAAACUGAGAUUGAUCUUGCAGAAGUAACAGUACAACAAGAUACCAAAAAGAUUUCACAGAGUUGGUUGAUCAAUAAAAUUAUUUGUCUUAUCAAAAGAAUUUCUCAGAGUUGGUUCUAGUUAUAAAUUUAAUCUGUCUGCAGUAGCCUGGUCGAAGAAAUUGCACUAGUCGUGAUAUAUUGGCAUCAAUAAGAGAUUUUUGAAGAACUUACAGUUUCAUCAAGCAAUGUUUUAAGUUUUUAUUUUUAUUUUUAACGGACUUGGAAAAGGAGUUGAAACUUUUGUGAUAAUUUUUGGAGGGGAGGGAAAUUGCUGUUUAUUCAAAUCAAUCAACAUGCCUUAACCAAAAAGUAGUUGAGAUUGUGUUCUGGUUACUUUCCUUAAUUGAUUAGUUCUGCAUCUUUUGUCUAAUGGGAGUGGUUAGCUCUUGUUGGACAAUUAUGGCCUUUUAGCCAUCAUUUCCUCUAAGUUUAUAGCCCUCACUAUGGAUAUCACUUGUAAACUAGGCUUCCUCAUCAAUAAAAUUACUCUACAUUACUUUAAAAAAGAAAUCUCUAUAUUCAACCAUUUCUGAAAUGAUGGGUCGCUCUAGGUGAUCACAGCUAUAUCAGUAAUCAUAAUGGACGUUGCCAAUGGAUUUCGCAUCUUUUUUCCCCUUUUUCAUUUGUGACGUGUUAAUGAGCAAAAAGACCAUGCAAUUGUCUGUUGCUUUGUCCUGUCAGUAUUCUGUGUUAAGCAUAUGGUCGAUUUUUACUUUGUGGUUGUGGUUCUGGAACAAGCUUGCAGCCAGCCUCCUCGCCGUCCGCCGUGCCUGCACCCUCCAGAACUGAAGUGCAUGCCUUAUUUGUUCCUUUAAUGAGGUCUGGAUGAUCUUUUGAACUGCCUUGAUGUUAACAGAUUCUGUUGAGACUUAUGAGAAGGAGUCCAUGUGAUAUCUCUACCACGUUGUCCGCUAAUGAGCCUUUCUUGUCCAUAGUGUCCGCUAAUGAGCCUUUCUUGUCCAUAGUGUCCACUAAUGAGCCUUUUGUGGAUGCCAGGGAGGAAGUCAUACAGGCAUGGGACAUGGAUGAUAGCAACGAGGACCAGAGGCUUCCCCAGAGUGAGCCGAAUGAAUUUGUGUCACUUGACAAACUUGCCCGUAUAAUUCCCCACGAUUAUCCUUAUUCGAGCAAUUUCAUGUUUUCUAGUGGGCCCGUUUGGCUGUUUAUUUCUUUCCUUCAAAGAACUUCCUUGAGUUACUCUAAAUAAGAAUCUGAUCCUCUUAAUCUUGGUUAUAUUGAAAGAGUACUACCUUUUUUCGUUAUUUCUGACAUCAGCUAUCAGUAUAUGGAAUUUUUGGAUAUUAGAUUGGAGAAUUUUCUUUUGAUUUGUUUUAGCAAUCCAAUUCUAAUGGGAUUUACUAUCUCGUUUCUCAACUCCUAUCAUGCCUGAAUCAUACGAACAAAGAAGUCAACGAACCCUUCGUCCUUUAUUGAUGAUUCCCUCGUAAUUUAGAGAGCUUGGACUGCUCAGCUGGUGACUAGAUGCUGACAAUUAUGAAACUGAUGAAGAGUUGACGAAAAUUCGAGAGGUUUGCUGAUAUUCUUACAGCUGACAAUGAUGAAACUGAUGAAGAGUUGACGAAAAUUCGAGAGGCUCGCUGAUAUUCUUACAUGGUAUGUCCAAGUUAUUAAAAUGAAUCAACGAAUUUCCUUCAGGACUUUUGUGAGGUUUGCCCUGAAAAUUUACCCAAUUAUGAGGAGAAGAUUAAGAACUUUUACGAAGAGCACUUGCACACUGAUGAGGAGAUCCGUUACUGUGUUGCUGGAAGUGGUCAGUGUAGGAUUUAUUGGAUGGGCUUUGCAUCGCUAUCUGCCAACUAUUAUAUGGUUGCUAAAAUAUAUAUACUUUGUCUUGUAAUGUUAUUUUGAUGUGAGGGAUCGUAAUGAGGGUUGGAUUCCCAUGUGGGUAAAGAAAGGGGCGAUGAUUAUCCUCCCUGCUGGAAUUUAUCACCAGUUCACACUUGAUUCAAGCAAUUACAUUAAGGUACUUAAGAGAAGCAUGAGCCUAAAUUGAAGAUUAAAGAGUAAGACUGCGUGCUCUUUUCACACCGUCCUUGCUUUUCUGUGUCGCUGCCUUUCUCUAAAAACAUGAUAAAGUAUUUGGCAACUAUGUGUUGCUUCUUCAGUUCGGUCAUUAUUUUGUGAUAUAUCAAUUACAAUAUGUGGUUCUUGUAGGCAUUCCGGCUCUUUGUUGGAGAUCCAGUUUGGACCCCAUACAACCGUCCACAUGAUCACUUGCCUGCCAGGAAGCAAUAUGUUGAGACUUUUGGGCAGAUGGAUGGAGCUGGUCAUGCAGUUAAUAAUGCAGCUGCCUAAAUCUACUUGAAAAUUGAAGAACUUAAGCCGUUUGGGCUGUGGUAAAUACAGUUGUAUCGUGGUUGAUAGUGUAUGCCCUUCUUAGCUUGUUUCAGUUUGUUUCCAAUGCGGUGUCGAUGAAAUUCCAUGAGUGCAACUUUGGGUUUCCAGUC